GACGAACCGUGCGAACGUUGUUCGGAAUCACUGGGCUUAAAGGGCGCGUAGGCGGGCUGACAAGUCUGGGGUGAAAUGCCGCGGCUCAACCGUGGAACUGCCUCAGAUACUGUCGGCCUCGAGGAAGGUAGGGGCAUGCGGAACUGUAGGUGGAGCGGUGAAAUGCGUUGAUAUCUACAGGAACUCCGGUGGCGAAGGCGGCGUGCUGGAUCUCUUCUGACGCUGAGGCGCGAAAGCUAGGGGAGCAAACGGG
rnacentral:rRNA from 1 species